rnacentral:rRNA from 1 species
GAUGAACGCUGGCGGCGUGCCUAACACAUGCAAGUCGAGCGAAAAGACGAGGAGUUUGCGCGGUUGACGUGAGGGGCGGGCGGGUGAGAAACACGUGGGUAACCUACUGAUAAGAGUGGGAUAACUGCGGGAAAGCGGAUAAAAUACCGGAGGAUAUAGGGAACGGCACGGUUCAAUAGAGAAAGACGGUUGUGGUGUGACUUCUAGACGGAUCCGCGCCGCAUUGGCUAGUUGGUAAGGUAACGCCUUAACGAGGCGACGAUGCGUAGGCGACCAGAGAGAGUGAUCGGCCACACUGGAACUGAGACACGGUCCAGACUCCUACGGGAGGCAGCAGUAGGGAAUCUUACGCAAUAGGCGAGAGCCUUACGGAGCGACGCCGCGUGAGUGAUGAAGGUCUUCGGAUCGUAAAGCUCUGUUAUUAGGGAAGAACAACUGUCUAUGUAACUAUGCCCGUCUUGACGGUACCUAGACAGAAAGCCACGGCUAACUACGUG